CUGGCGGCGUGCCUAAUACAUGCAAGUUGAGCGCUGAAGGUUGGUACUUGUACCGACUGGAUGAGCAGCGAACGGGUGAGUAACGCGUGGGGAAUCUGCCUUUGAGCGGGGGACAACAUUUGGAAACGAAUGCUAAUACCGCAUAAAAACUUUAAACACAAGUUUUAAGUUUGAAAGAUGCAAUUGCAUCACUCAAAGAUGAUCCCGCGUUGUAUUAGCUAGUUGGUGAGGUAAAGGCUCACCAAGGCGAUGAUACAUAGCCGACCUGAGAGGGUGAUCGGCCACAUUGGGACUGAGACACGGCCCAAACUCCUACGGGAGGCAGCAGUAGGGAAUCUUCGGCAAUGGACGAAAGUCUGACCGAGCAACGCCGCGUGAGUGAAGAAGGUUUUCGGAUCGUAAAACUCUGUUGGUAGAGAAGAACGUUGGUGAGAGUGGAAAGCUCAUCAAGUGACGGUAACUACCCAGAAAGGGACGGCUAACUACGUGCCAGCAGCCGCGGUAAUACGUAGGUCCCGAGCGUUGUCCGGAUUUAUUGGGCGUAAAGCGAGCGCAGGUGGUUUAUUAAGUCUGGUGUAAAAGGCAGUGGCUCAACCAUUGUAUGCAUUGGAAACUGGUAGACUUGAGUGCAGGAGAGGAGAGUGGAAUUCCAUGUGUAGCGGUGAAAUGCGUAGAUAUAUGGAGGAACACCGGUGGCGAAAGCGGCUCUCUGGCCUGUAACUGACACUGAGGCUCGAAAGCGUGGGGAGCAACAG
rnacentral:rRNA from 1 species